AUUGAACGCUGGCGGCAGGCCUAACACAUGCAAGUCGAGCGGCAGCGGGAAAGUAGCUUGCUACUUUUGCCGGCGAGCGGCGGACGGGUGAGUAAUGCCUGGGAAAUUGCCCAGUCGAGGGGGAAAACAGUUGGAAACGACUGCUAAUACCGCAUACGCCCUACGGGGGAAAGCAGGGGACCUUCGGGCCUUGCGCGAUUGGAUAUGCCCAGGUGGGAUUAGCUAGUUGGUGAGGUAAUGGCUCACCAAGGCGACGAUCCCUAGCUGGUUUGAGAGGAUGAUCAGCCACACUGGAACUGAGACACGGUCCAGACUCCUACGGGAGGCAGCAGUGGGGAAUAUUGCACAAUGGGGGAAACCCUGAUGCAGCCAUGCCGCGUGUGUGAAGAAGGCCUUCGGGUUGUAAAGCACUUUCAGCGAGGAGGAAAGGUUGAUGCCUAAUACGUAUCAACUGUGACGUUACUCGCAGAAGAAGCACCGGCUAACUCCGUGCCAGCCGCCGCAGUAA
rnacentral:rRNA from 1 species